rnacentral:pre_miRNA from 14 species
AUGGCGUGCCCCAGGAAACACUGAUCCCGGAUGAGCCCCCAACUGAAAGAUCCCAGUCAGAGAGAGACCCUUACUCAAGUCUUGGGAAAUCGCGGACCCCAAACACAGAGAGACCA